UUGACCUCAAAUCGGGUGAGACUACCCGCUGAACUUAAGCAUAUCAA
rnacentral:rRNA from 17 species